AACGAACGCUGGCGGCAGGCUUAACACAUGUAAGUCGAACGCCCCGCAAGGGGAGUGGCAGACGGGUGAGUAACGCGUGGGAACAUACCCUUUUCUACGGAAUAGCUCUGGGAAACUGGAAUUAAUACCGUAUACGCCCUACGGGGGAAAGAUUUAUCGGGGAAGGAUUGGCCCGCGUUGGAUUAGCUAGUUGGUGGGGUAAAGGCCUACCAAGGCGACGAUCCAUAGCUGGUCUGAGAGGAUGAUCAGCCACAUUGGGACUGAGACACGGCCCAAACUCCUACGGGAGGCAGCAGUGGGGAAUAUUGGACAAUGGGCGCAAGCCUGAUCCAGCCAUGCCGCGUGAGUGAUGAAGGCCUUAGGGUUGUAAAGCUCUUUCACCGAUGAAGAUAAUGACGGUAGUCGGAGAAGAAGCCCCGGCUAACUUCGUG
rnacentral:rRNA from 1 species